rnacentral:rRNA from 1 species
CGCGUAGGCGGCGCGGCUUGUUAGACGUGAAAUUCCUGGGCUCAACCUGGGGACUGCGUUUAAGACGGCUGUGCUGGAGUUCGGAAGAGGGUCGUGGAAUUCCCAGUGUAGAGGUGAAAUUCGUAGAUAUUGGGAAGAACACCGGUGGCGAAGGCGGCGACCUGGUCCGAUACUGACGCUGAGGCGCGAAAGCGUGGGGAGCAAACAGGAUUAGAUACCCUGGUAGUCCACGCUGUAAACGAUGUGUGCUGGAUGUUGGGCGACCUAGUCGCUCAGUGUCGUAGCUAACGCGGUAAGCACACCGCCUGGGGAGUACGGCCGCAAGGUUGAA